GCCUUCGUGGUGUAGUGGUCAGUACGCUGGGCGCGUAUUCUAGAGGUCCGUGGUUCGAGUCCCGGCGAAGGCG
rnacentral:tRNA from 1 species